CCGGCGAACGGGUGCGUAACACGUGAGCAAGCUUCCGAUUAGUGGGGGAUAGCCGGCCUAACGGCCGGGUAAUACCGCAUACGUUCAUCACUCGGCAUCGAGUGGUGAGGAAACCUCCGGUGCUAAUCGAGGCGCUCGCGGCCUAUCAGCUAGUUGGCGGGGUAACGGCCCACCAAGGCGACGACGGGUAGCUGGUCUGAGAGGAUGGCCAGCCACAUUGGGACUGCGACACGGCCCAGACUCC
rnacentral:rRNA from 1 species